rnacentral:rRNA from 1 species
UACGGAGGGUGCAAGCGUUGUUCGGAUUUAUUGGGCGUAAAGCGCGUGUAGGCGGUUUGUUAAGUCUGAUGUGAAAGCCCCGGGCUCAACCUGGGAAGUGCACUGGAAACUGGCAGACUUGAAUACGGGAGAGGGUAGUGGAAUUCCUAGUGUAGGAGUGAAAUCCGUAGAUAUUAGGAGGAACACCGGUGGCGAAGGCGGCUACCUGGACCGAUAUUGACGCUGAGACGCGAAAGCGUGGGGAGCAAACAGGAUUAGAUACCCUGGUAGUCCACGCCGUAAACGAUGAGUACUAGGUGUUGCGGGUAUUGACCCCUGCAGUGCCGCAGCUAACGCAUUAAGCACCCCGCCUGGGGAGUACGUACGCAAGUAUGAA